rnacentral:rRNA from 1 species
AGAGUUUGAUCCUGGCUCAGGACGAACGCUGGCGGCGUGCCUAAUACAUGCAAGUAGGACGCACAGUUUAUACCGUAGCUUGCUACACCAUAGACUGUGAGUUGCGAACGGGUGAGUAACGCGUAGGUAACCUGCCUAUUAGAGGGGGAUAACUAUUGGAAACGAUAGCUAAUACCGCAUAACAGUAUGUAACACAUGUUAGAUGCUUGAAAGAUGCAAUUGCAUCGCUAGUAGAUGGACCUGCGUUGUAUUAGCUAGUAGGUAGGGUAAAGGCCUACCUAGGCAACGAUACAUAGCCGACCUGAGAGGGUGAUCGGCCACACUGGGACUGAGACACGGCCCAGACUCCUACGGGAGGCAGCAGUAGGGAAUCUUCGGCAAUGGGGGGAACCCUGACCGAGCAACGCCGCGUGAGUGAAGAAGGUUUUCGGAUCGUAAAGCUCUGUUGUUAAGGAAGAACGAGUGUGAGAAUGGAAAGUUCAUACUGUGACGGUACUUAACCAGAAAGGGACGGCUAACUACGUGCCAGCAGCCGCGGUAAUACGUAGGUCCCGAGCGUUGUCCGGAUUUAUUGGGCGUAAAGCGAGCGCAGGCGGUUAGAAAAGUCUGAAGUGAAAGGCAGUGGCUCAACCAUUGUAGGCUUUGGAAACUGUUUAACUUGAGUGCAGAAGGGGAGAGUGGAAUUCCAUGUGUAGCGGUGAAAUGCGUAGAUAUAUGGAGGAACACCGGUGGCGAAAGCGGCUCUCUGGUCUGUAACUGACGCUGAGGCUCGAAAGCGUGGGGAGCGAACAGGAUUAGAUACCCUGGUAGUCCACGCCGUAACGAUGAGUGCUAGGUGUUAGGUCCUUUCCGGGACUUAGUGCCGUAGCUAACGCAUUAGCACUCCGCCUGGGGAGUACGACCGCAGGUUGAAACUCAAAGGAAUUGACGGGGCCCGCACAAGCGGUGGAGCAUGUGGUUUAA